rnacentral:rRNA from 1 species
UAGUAUCAGCGUGUCAGCCGCCGCGGUAACACGUAGGGGGCAAGCGUUGUCCGGAUUUAUUGGGCGUAAAGAGCUCGUAGGUGGCUGAGUAAGUCGGAUGUUAAAUCCCCAGGCUCAACCUGGGACACCACCCGAUACUGCUCUGGCUAGAGUCCGGUAGGGGAGCGUGGAAUUCCUGGUGUAGCGGUGAAAUGCGCAGAUAUCAGGAGGAACACCAGCGGCGAAGGCGGCGCUCGUGGGCCGGUACUGACACUGAGGAGCGAAAGCGUGGGUAGCAAACAGGAUUAGAUACCCUGGUAGUCCACGCCGUAAACGUUGGGCACUAGGUGUGGGGUCUAUUCAACGGACUCCGUGCCGUAGCUAACGCAUUAAGUGCCCCGCCUGGGGAGUACGGCCGCAAGGCUAAAACUCAAAUGAAUUGACGGG